rnacentral:rRNA from 1 species
CCUACGGGAGGCAGCAGUGGGGAAUAUUGCACAAUGGGGGAAACCCUGAAGCAGCGACGCCGCGUGAGUGAUGAAGGAUUUCGGAUUGUAAACUCCUUUUAGUAGGGAAGAUAAUGACGGUAUCUGACGAAGAAGCACCGGCUAACUACGUGCCAGCAGCCGCGGUAAUACGUAGGGUGCAAGCGUUAUUCGGAUUCACUGGGCGUAAAGAGCGCGUAGGCGGGGCAGCAAGUCAGAUGUGAAAUCCUAUGGCUUAACCAUAGAACUGCAUUGGAAACUGUUGUUCUUGAGUACGGGAGGGGUAGGUGGAAUUCCUAGUGUAGGGGUAAAAUGCGUAGAGAUUAAGAGGAAUACUGACUGCGAAGGCGACCUGCUAGAACAUAACUGACGUUGAGGCGCGAAAGCGUGGGGAGCAAACAGGAUUAGAUACCCGAGUAGUC